UAUACUAAAGUUGUUGCAGUUAAAAAGCUCGUAGUUGGAUUUCGGGGCGGCGUGGUUGGUCAGCCGCAAGGUAUGUUACUGGCCACGCUGUUCUUCUUCGCCAAGACUAUGUGUGCUCUUAAUUGAGUGUGGGUAGGAUUUGCGACGUUUACUUUGAAGAAAUUAGAGUGUUCAAAGCAGG
rnacentral:rRNA from 1 species